AAUCAACGCUGGCGGCGUGCCUCAGACAUGCAAGUCGAACGCGAAAGUUCCCUUCGGGGGGCGAGUAGAGUGGCGCACGGGUGAGUAACACGUAGGCAAUCUACCUUUGGGUGGGGAAUAACAGCCGGAAACGGCUGCUAAUACCGCAUAAUGCAGCGGCUCGACAUCGAGACAGUUGUUAAAGCGGGGGAUCGCAAGACCUCGCGCCUAAAGAGGAGCCUGCGGCGGAUUAGCUUGUUGGUGAGGUAAUGGCUCACCAAGGCAUCGAUCCGUAGCCGGCCUGAGAGGGCGGUCGGCCACACUGACACUGACAUACGGGUCAGACUCCUACGGGAGGCAGCAGUCGGGAAUUUUGGGCAAUGGGCGCAAGCCUGACCCAGCAACGCCGCGUGAAGGAUGAAAUCCCUCGGAUNUAAACUUCGUAAGAACAGGAAGAAUAAGUGGGGGACGAACUACCCCCA
rnacentral:rRNA from 1 species